AAGGCCAGCUUGUGGAAACAAAAUAAAGCGGCCUCCCAAUUCAUAUAUUUUAUUUGCUAAAGAGUGGAGAAAGAAGUUUGCUGCUCUGUAUACUACAGAAAGAAGCACGGACAUCAGCAUAAGACUUGGUAACAUGUGGCACGCCUUGACAUUAGAGAAGCAAAAAUACCUUGAUCUGGCAUGACACAGCCAGAGACAUCCUGACUACAACUACAACCCAAAAGAAGCCCAGAAACAAAAGGAACUCUGUGUGGAGGCCCAUAAGCUGAAAGGCAUGAAUCCAUGUGGCCAUAAGGCAACUACCGCCCUCGAUAACUGGGAAACAGGUCCGCAGUGUGUGCCCUCAGGGUGUCUUUGGGUGGUGUGAGGCUGAGUCCACAUGGCACGUUGAUGAACCUUGCAACUCACCAGAUUCAGAUAGUUAACAUUCACAUAAAAGGCCAUGGAAUGAACAGUUUGUCAGUUGCAUGUGAUAUGAAGGAAAUUCCACAAUUUAUCUCCAGAAAAUCAGGUCGUGGCCGUGUAACAUUUAUGUAUGGUGUGGAGGAAAUACCAUAACCUAAACCCAAAGUAUCGCGUCAUGGCUGUACAACAGUUAUAUUUCCAUGGAAUUAAUGGUGUUUUGUGUGCGUGUGUGCAUUCCCUUCUUUUUAGGACAUGUAGAUUGGCCUACUGUCUGGGUGGCCCCCCUAGUUUCUUGGCUCUCUGUUUGGUCCAGGUCAUAUUAAAGGAAAGUAGUCCGUUGUUCCUCCCAGAACUUCUUGUUUGUAUUUUUGAAAUGUCAGUGACUUCUGAUAACAUAGGGAUAUUAAUGAAGAGUAUGAACAGGGGUCAAAUUUGCAGAGUCAAGUGCAGCCCCUCCUCAGUAAGCCUACAGUAUGUCUGCAACUGUUACAAUUACAGCGAGUUCCACCAACACUUUAGCUACAGCCAUAAUCAGUUCUUACAUCUCAGUCCAUCAGCAAGUGCCCCAAUCAGAUAUGAAAAAGUUCUGAAUUACUGGAAUAUUCAAUAUAUAUCAUAUAUUUUGUAUACAGUUCAUUUUCACAUAACCUUUACUUAUUUAUUUUGAUUAACACAUAUUUUCUUAUUUAGGUAAUACAUAAAAACUUGUAAGGGUUUGCCUGCAAAGUGAUUGACAAGUUUUAAGUCUUUUCACUGAAGCCAUUUUAAAUGUGACAGUGGGUGAUAAUACUAUUGAAUGUUGGUUAUUACCAUUUAAUGACAACUAGAAUAUGUUAUUGUUAUUCUAAAUUGCCUUUAAUUGAUUGUCUGUUAGACCAGUGAUCUCCAGAAUGGAUUCCCAGACGUUUAUUAACUGUCUUCAUUUGAGUACACUGUAUGCAUGUUUUCUGUAGGUAUAGGAUGUGUACACAUGCCUGUGUUUCCAAAAGGCAAAUUGCUGUAGUGGGUAUCCUAUAUUUGAAAGUUUCAUAAGUAUAAAAGCAACAGUUUGUUGUCUCAGUGAUUGUGAGCUGAAAAUUAUCCCAUUCAGACAUAUCCAGUGGAAAAGCAGUAAUCAGAAAUCCUAGUUGUGUAAUACCUGAAGCUUUCGAGAGAAACGGAAUUCAUUAAAUAUUUUUAAAGUUACAUUUCUGGGGACCAGUUUCAAAACUUUUACUACAAUACGCAACAUUAAAAAGUUCAUGAAAGUGUUCAUCCAUGUAUAGCAUAUCAUGCCUAGCAUUUCCUCUCCUCCAACACUUGUUGCAUUAGAUCAUGAGCUUCUUGACGAUGUCCAAGAAUAUUUUCAGUUGCUCCUGAAGCCAGUGAACACAUUUUUUUCACGUUUUGAAAAUCUGUAUCUAUGUAUUGUUCGUUUAGUAGUCAAAGAAAUGUGAUGAUAACAGGAAGAUUUUGAGAUUUAAUGUUUUGGACAAUUUUGACAGAAAAUGAAGUCACCGUACACCGGAUGUCAGUAGGCUGCCUGUAACCUUGUGACUUGGAAGAGAGAUGUCAGGUCAGGUUAUGACUAACAGCGGUAAUGGUGGCUUAGUAACAUUGGGUAUUGCUGAAUCAAGUUGAAACAUAUAUGUUUCAUAAAGAAGGCAUGUGUUUCUAGAUAAAUUUUAUUAUAAGUUUUUAAAUCUGGUGUUACUGCCAUUGGUUUCCAUAUGAAUGGCAUUUACUUCCAGAUCCCAGAUACAACUUAAAUUUUAGUUCAUGGUAGAAAGCAUACAUUUUAAUUUUCCAUGUACGGUAAAACACAGUGUAUUAAGGAUGAACCGGCAGAAACUGCAACACAGCGAGCAAACAGUAUCAUGUGACUUGAAAAUUUUUAAUCUUCAAGACUUGAUUUUGUUGUACAAGUAUUAUGUAGGUGUUAUCCUCUAAACCUGUAUUACUUGUUUCCUUUUAUGUUCCUGUCAAUUUGUGUAAUACAUUCAUCUGUUUCUAUCCUUUCCAGAAUCCACGAGACAAUUCCAUCCACCACCCUACCUUUCUGGAUUCCAAUCUUCUGUCUCCUCCCUAAGUGGAAAUUUGUGUAUGUAUAGAUUACUGAAUGUUUGUUUAUUUGUGUUUUAUAAUAAAUUAAAUGUCUUUA